UAGGGAAUCUUCGGCAAUGGGGGGAACGCUGACCGAGCAACGCCGCGUGAGUGAAGAAGGUUUUCGGAUCGUAAAGCUCUGUUGUUAAGGAAGAACGAGUGUGAGAAUGGAAAGUUCAUACUGUGACGGUACUUAACCAGAAAGGGACGGCUAACUACGUGCCAGCAGCCGCGGUAAUACGUAGGUCCCGAGCGUUGUCCGGAUUUAUUGGGCGUAAAGCGAGCGCAGGCGGUUAGAUAAGUCUGAAGUUAAAGGCAGUGGCUCAACCAUUGUAGGCUUUGGAAACUGUUUAACUUGAGUGCAGAAGGGGAGAGUGGAAUUCCAUGUGUAGCGGUGAAAUGCGUAGAUAUAUGGAGGAACACCGGUGGCGAAAGCGGCUCUCUGGUCUGUAACUGACGCUGAGGCUCGAAAGCGUGGGGAGCGAACAGG
rnacentral:rRNA from 1 species